CAGCAGCCGCGGGAAUACGAAGGGUGCAAGCGUUAAUCGGAAUUACUGGGCGUAAAGCGUGCGUAGGCGGUGAGCUAAGUCUGCUGUGAAAUCCCCGGGCUCAACCUGGGAAUGGCAGUGGAUACUGGCUCGCUAGAGUGUGUCAGAGGAUGGUGGAAUUCCCGGUGUAGCGGUGAAAUGCGUAGAGAUCGGGAGGAACAUCAGUGGCGAAGGCGGCCAUCUGGGACAACACUGACGCUGAGGCACGAAAGCGUGGGGAGCAAACAGGAUUAGAUACCCCUGUAGUCCCUGUCUCUUAUAC
rnacentral:rRNA from 1 species